AAUAUGGGGCUCCUGGUGAGGAACAGAAAGGUCUGAGGUGGUGCAGGGACUGAGACUGCUGCUCCUGCGUAGCCAAGAACAGGAGAAGAGGUCCGUGGAGCUGAGAGGUGCCUGGGAGCAGAAAGGUGGUUAAUGGAAUGAAGGGUUGCCUGUCCUGUAGCUAUAUCGAGAAGUUUACUGACUUUCUUCGGCUCUUUGUGAGUGUUCACCUAAGAAGAAUCGAGUCUUAUUCCCAGUUCCCUGUGGUGGAGUUUUUGACACUUUUGUUCAAGUACACAUUUCAUCAGCCUACUCAUGAAGGUUACUUCUCUUGUUUGGAUAUCUGGACGCUGUUUUUGGACUAUCUGACAAGUAAAAUUAAAAGUCGUCUUGGAGACAAGGAAGCAGUUCUCAACAGGUACGAAGAUGCCCUGGUGCUCCUGCUCACAGAGGUGUUGAAUCGAAUCCAGUUCAGAUACAACCAAGCCCAGCUGGAGGAGUUGGAUGAUGAGACUCUGGAUGACGAUCAGCAGACGGAGUGGCAGCGGUACUUACGGCAGAGCUUGGAGGUGGUGGCCAAAGUGAUGGAGCUCCUGCCCACGCACGCCUUCUCCACACUGUUCCCU
rnacentral:sRNA from 1 species